UUACGACCUCGAUGUUGGAUCAGGGUAUCCCAGUGGUGCAGCCGCUACUAAAGGUUCGUUUGUUCAACGAUUAAAACCCUACGUGAUCUGAGUUCAGACCGGAGUAAUCCAGGUCAGUUUCUAUCUAUAACGGAAUUUUUUCUAGUACGAAAGGACCGAAAGAACAUGGCCCAUACUCUAUGCAAGCCAUAGUUACUAACUUAUGACUAAGUCUUAAUAAGUACAUAACCCACCACCCACCUCAAGAAAAGAGCA
rnacentral:rRNA from 1 species